rnacentral:misc_RNA from 1 species
UGGUUCUGGCAUCGAUGAAGAACGCAGCGAAAUGCGAUAAGUAAUGUGAAUUGCAGAAUUCAGUGAAUCAUCGAAUCUUUGAACGCACAUUGCGCCCGGCAGUAUUCUGCCGGGCAUGCCUGUUCGAGCGUCAUUUCAACCCUCAAGCCCCCGGGCUUGGUGUUGGAGAUCGGCCCGCCCCCGUGGCUGGCCGGCUCCGAAAUCUAGUGGCGGUCCCGCUGUAGCUUCCUCUGCGUAGUAGCAAUAUCUCGCACCGGAACGCGACGGAGCCUUGCCGUAAAACCCCCAACUUCUGAAGGUUGACCUCGGAUCAGGUAGGAAUACCCGCUGA